GAGACACAGACUACACAGUGUGAUAGUAACGACUGAUGGUCAUACUGAGGUGGUUUGAAAUUCAUUUCUAUUAUUUUUCACAAGUCCAACCCUUUCCUCAAAAUGAGACUGGUGUUUAUAGGAAUGGUCUUUAACGGAAACUUGCAGUGUAAAAGGGGUUUUCAGAGGAAGUAAUUAACCUCUUAAUUACAUGGUUUAACUCCUUUUUCAAGGCCUUAUUUCAUGACAGGAGUGAUGCAAAAUAAACACCUCUGAACAUGUGUGACAGGCCUCAUGACGCAGAUCUCACACCAGUGACACUAAGGAAGAAAAGUCCUCAAGAAUCAAGAAAAAAGUGGAGGUUUUUAUGGAGUGAUAUUCAAAUCUUGAGCCCUGAAAUUCUGCAAGGCCUGCAUUUGUAAGGCUCCAGUCACCGUGGCAUCUAGGCAUGAAAGAUACCUUGUGUCAGCAGGAUACGCAUCAAAGGAGUCCUUUUCUAAUGGAUAAACCUGAUAUCAAAGAACUGAAGAAACUGAACCAAAAUUUACAGGCAAACAACUUGACUUCUCAAUCUACCUGGACAUCCCAACUAGAGUUUAUGUAUGCUGAAGAUGAG
ensembl:lncRNA